UUAAUCGUUUAUUUUGCGUUGGAUUGCGUGGGCUGAACAAUCCGGACAUCGUGGCCACCGACGUGGACCCCCGCCACCGGGACCCACGCAGAGCGGAUUGUACUCCCAGAGGCUUCAACAGAGCGGGUCUGGAGCUGGGAGCUGUUGGUCAGGACCCGUUCAGUCCUACAGGAACAGACGGUAGAGGUGAUGGAGGCGGUCGUCUGGAGGUCCGUGGCGGUCGUCUGGAGGCGCUCGCUGCAGAUGGAGGGAAGGCCGGGAGCCGUGCAACCCAACGGAUGCAGAACGAAGGACUGAGGCGGUGGUCCUGGAGGCAGAGGCCAGCCUGGAGGCGGCGGUGGCCUGGAGGUCCUGGAGGCGUCCAACCUGGAAGGGGCGGCAUGGAGGGCCAGGUGGCGGCUCCUCAUCCAAAGGGCCUGGAGGCGGCCAACCUGGAAGGCCUGGAGACGGCCGAGGUCCUGGAGGCAACGGCGGUCCUGGAGGGCCCGGUGGCGGCGGCGGCGGCGUCCUGGAGGGCCCGGCAGCGGCGGCUCCUCAUCCAGUAAAGCUAAACUCUUCUCCAGUGCAUCAUGAACGGGGAGGAAUGUCCGGGGUGCAAAUAGAACGUGUGUCACAUUUCAGAAGAAAUGAGGCGACAUUGCGGAGGUCCAGGCGGUCGGCCCGGUGGAGGUCCAGGCGGUUGGCCCGGUGGAGGUCCUGGAGGAGACGGUCCCGGCGGUGGAGGUCCAGGCGGUCGGCCCGGUGGAGGUCCUGGAGGAGACGGUCCCGGCGGUGGAGGUCCAGGCGGUUGGCCCGGUGGAGCUCCUGGAGGAGACGGUCCCGGCGGUGGAGGACGGCUGGGGGGUCCGGCGGUGGAGGUCCGAAGGCGGCUCGUGAUUAGACCAACCAGCUCCUCACCCAUGGAAGGAUUGAAGGAGUCACUGGGGAUGAAGAUCACUGCUCAGGGGCUGACGACCCCCCCCCCCCCCCCCCCCCCCUCAUCUUUCCGGAGAAGGGUCCUCAAUGUGCAGGCGGUCAAACCUCCACCUCUUUGAAGACACCAAGCAGCUUGAUGUCUGACUGGUUCCUUAUACUCCGGACCUCGUCCCGGAGCAGAGGACGGACCUAAGGCCCGCAGCGCAGCCGACUAGAGACUCCAUGUGGAACCGUUAAGAUACUGGAUUGACCAUCUUGAAGACAUUUUCAUUUAUUCAACAAGGUUAGUUUUGUUUGGCGGGUAUGUUGCUUUGAUACUCGGGGCUUCUUCUGUAACAAACUUUCUAGAGAAUAAGAUCUGACUUCAGCCAAUCAGUGGGAUGUCCUUGAACAAGAGCAAUGGCUGAAGGUGCUCAAACGCAUUAUUUUGACUCGCUCCUCUACUAUUGCUGUAAUCAAGCUGGAUGGCUAUUUUGCUCCUUCUACUGACAAAAUCAAGUCUGCCACCUGGUGGCGGAUGAGGGCGUAGCAACUCGGGGUACAUUGGAAACAUGAUAAGAAGAGCCUGUUUUUGAUUGGAUCGUACACCUAAAUGUUUUCACAUCAAAAUAUCGCCGAACCCCAUGUUGGACAAUGCUUGUUUUCAUCCUUUCUAUGUUUAGCUUUGAUUUAUCCUUACCUUUUCUUGUGACCCAUUCCCCUUAGGUUCAAUUAAGUUGACCUCUCCUUCAGGCGACUUAAAGGGAGACCAGAUGUGCGGCAGCUGGGUGUCAUGGUGCAGAGACCCAACGCUGUACUGAACUACACCAGUGUGUCCUACUCCCAUGAACCCUGAGGAUCCCUGGAUGGCUACACCAGCACAUUAAUCCACACCCAACAUCAACACACAGUGCACACUCUAUAGAGCUCGUAAAUCCGCCCCUUGCGGCGGGACCUCAUGAGAUCGUAAGAUAUGACUGGGUUUCAAUGGAGAGAAAGUAAUUAUUUUCUCCAUUUUAUGUUGCACCACAUUUUGGGGGAAGAAUGUUUGAAUCAAUCUUUGUCAUUUAUUUCUGUACUCCAUAUCUGUAAUCCCAGCUGUUGUAUUUUAACACGGUAGCUGGGAACCCUCUUUAUAGGGAGUGACUAGAGGGACGAGGCUGGAAGCAAACCUGAGCCUGGAUCUUAACCUUCUUUCUAAACCUAAUGCCGCAAUUUAACCGCAAAUAAAGUGAGGCCUAAAGUAACUUGACUCUCUUACCUAAACUUGCUUGCCUAAACUCGCUUGUCUAAACUCGCUUGCAUAAAACCUAAACUCGCUUGCAUAAAACCUAAACUCGCUUGCAUAAAACCUGAACUUGCUUGGCUAAACUCGCGUCGCUUGCCUAAUACCUGAACUUGCUUGCCUAAACUCGCUUGCCUAAUACCUGAACUCGCUUGCCUAAACUCGCUUGCCUAAACUCGCUUGCCUAAACUCGCUUGCAUAAAACCUAAACUUGCUUAGCUUGACUCGCUUGCCUAAACUCGCUUGCAUAAAACCUAAACUUGCUUAGCUUGACUCGCUUGCCUGUACUCGCUUGCAUAAAACCUGAACUCGCUUGCAUAAAACCUAAACUUGCUUAGCUUGACUCGCUUGCCUAAACUCGCUUGCCUAAUACCUGAAGUCGCUUGCCUAAUACCUGAAGUCGCUUGCCUAAUACCUGAAGUCGCUUGCCUAAUCCCUGAAGUCGCUUGCCUAAACUCGCUUGCCUAAUACCUAAACUUGCUUGUCCAAACACGUUACACAAAGUUAACCAUCCAUAAUCUUUAACCCAAACCAGACUUGUCCCUGGGUCGCUCCACUUUAAUUUAGAAGUUUCUUCUUUUACCUCAUCUGCGUUUUGAGUUUCAUUCUUUGAGGGCUUGAAGUGCUUUGGAGGAUAUUUGAACCUUUGUUUGCCGCAUCUAUAAACAUGCUUUAUCUUUACCCAUUUUGUUUUGGAUUGCAUUUCUAUGUGUAAUCCGGCCAAAUGUUCAGUGUCCUUACAUGUAAUGUCUAUGGUCUGACGAUAAUCUGACCUCUUCAUGAAGCAGAAUGUGUGUGAAUGUUGUCCCGUGAGCUCCAGGCUCUCUGUGGGCCUGUCAACGUCUCUUUAGCAAAAGGUUGGAGAGUGAAAUUCAUUUUUGUGCCAUUUUCAUGUGUUCCUGAGUAUUUCAGACCUGUGGUGUUUCACAUGAGACCUUAAUGGGAACUUUUCUUUUUCUUCCUGCAUACAUAAUGCCUACAUUAGUAGGGUGAUCACUGUUGAUCCCAAUAUUGAUCAUUAACCACCUCAUUCUUUGGGAUUACAAAUCAUGUAAUUUAUGAGCAUAUUUGCAAAUGCCUCCAAAUAUCAGAUUGUGUAAAAACGAAUGAAAUGUAACCUGCUUGAUUUAAAGAAAAUAAAACAUCCAAAUAUUCUAAA